AUUGAACGCUGGCGGCAGGCCUAACACAUGCAAGUCGAGCGGAUGAAGGGAGCUUGCUCCUGGAUUCAGCGGCGGACGGGUGAGUAAUGCCUAGGAAUCUGCCUGGUAGUGGGGGAUAACGUCCGGAAACGGGCGCUAAUACCGCAUACGUCCUGAGGGAGAAAGUGGGGGAUCUUCGGACCUCACGCUAUCAGAUGAGCCUAGGUCGGAUUAGCUAGUUGGUGGGGUAAAGGCCUACCAAGGCGACGAUCCGUAACUGGUCUGAGAGGAUGAUCAGUCACACUGGAAUUGAGACACGGUCCAGACUCCUACGGGAGGCAGCAGUGGGGAAUAUUGGACAAUGGGCGAAAGCCUGAUCCGGCCAUGCCGCGUGUGUGAAGAAGGUCUUCGGAUUGUAAAGCACUUUAAGUUGGGAGGAAGGGCAGUAAGUUAAUACCUUGCUGUUUUGACGUUACCAACAGAAUAAGCACCGGCUAACUUCGUG
rnacentral:rRNA from 1 species